GAUGAACGCUGGCGGCGUGCCUAAUACAUGCAAGUCGAGCGAACGGACGAGAAGCUUGCUUCUCUGAUGUUAGCGGCGGACGGGUGAGUAACACGUGGAUAACCUACCUAUAAGACUGGGAUAACUUCGGGAAACCGGAGCUAAUACCGGAUAAUAUUUUGAACCGCAUGGUUCAAAAGUGAAAGACGGUCUUGCUGUCACUUAUAGAUGGAUCCGCGCUGCAUUAGCUAGUUGGUAGGGUAACGGCUUACCAAGGCAACGAUGCAUAGCCGACCUGAGAGGGUGAUCGGCCACACUGGAACUGAGACACGGUCCAGACUCCUACGGGAGGCAGCAGUAGGGAAUCUUCCGCAAUGGGCGAAAGCCUGACGGAGCAACGCCGCGUGAGUGAUGAAGGUCUUCGGAUCGUAAAACUCUGUUAUUAGGGAAGAACAUAUGUGUAAGUAACUAUGCACAUCUUGACGGUACCUAAUCAGAAAGCCACGGCUAACUACGUG
rnacentral:rRNA from 1 species